UUGAAGUAUGCGGGAGAGAUCGUAUUAAAUUACGACGCCGAAGGAUUAAGUUUUUUUCACCGAAAAAAAGUGAUGAUCUCAGGCAAAAGGACCGUUUAUGGACA
rnacentral:ncRNA from 2 species